AUGGAGAGUGGCCAGAGGAUCAAGGACGGCCAACCCUUGCCUCCUCUCCAGCACGUGUUGGGGAUUACGAGCGGCGUACAUGAAGAAGCAGGAGCAAAGCAAAUGCAGGAUUCCAUGGGUCGUUGUGGUGCCUGUUGGGUCUUUGGUGUUGUGGAGUGUCUGCAAGAUCGUCUAUGCAUUCCUCGCGGCAUGACCGUUAGUAAGGUUGAUCAUCGGCAAGCGAAAGUGCUUUGUGGAUACUUGCACGACCAAGGAAGGAAUUUGUAUUUGAAGUAUGCACUUGGGAUAUUGCAAGUGUCAAUGCGAACUACCAGAGUCACAUGA
rnacentral:rRNA from 1 species